AUUGCAAGUCGCCGCUGGGAUGACGUAGAUUCAACAUCCGCUCGGAGACUUUGUAGCUGUGAUAGUGACAACCCAACAGUCGGGAAAUAUGAGGCUGUGGAUGCUGAUGCAAUUACAGUUAUGGACCAGCUUGAUGAUAACUCAAUUCCAUUUUAGCAACACUGUCUUCAGAACAGGAUUCCAGCUUUGAAGAGCCCCAGACCGUCCAGGGGCACAGGCAGGACUGCAGAAAGAAUUGGACAGGAAGACCUUGAAAGGGCUACCCGACUGAAAGGAGAGGCUGGCCGAGAAGAAGACUAAAUUGCGAGAGCUGUCCAUUGAAGGGGAGAUGCUGGAGCUGUCCGCUUCCCUUCUACCUGGAGUGAUUUUUGACAUGGUGUACCGGAGAGCUAUCCCAGGGUCUCCAGAAAUCCAAGACAACCUCACUGGUGCACCUGCCUUAAUUGCAGGGAGACUCCUGCACCUUACAACACACAACUGCUGCCAUUUCACCACUGCAAUAUUCAAUGUAUUUAUUACCAAGUAUGUUACCAUAACAAGAUGACACUUUCCAUGACUACACCGUACUUUAUUCUUAAUUUGGAUCUAAAUUAAGAAAAUAUGGUAAUAUCUUUAAGUAGUUUUGUGAAUUUUUCCUUGGUCUGGGUGAAAUCAGUUCAAUACUUUACCAGUUCACCACAUUGUUUCCCUUACACUACCUUGUAUUCUUGUUUAUCUACCUAAUAAAACUAUUUGGCCUGAUCGUC